GUCUAUGAUCUCCUAGUUUAUGAUUUAGAUAACCCUCCCUAAACCCUUUUAAAAUACAUUUAGCUAUCAAACUAUCUUUUAUGAUAUCUAAUUUGAUGUAAUGACCUACUUGCUCAACUUUAUUUCAUAAACUCAAGAAUCAGAAAACAAAGGAAAAUUGAGAGUAAAUUAUCUACUUCACAUACAGGAAUAUAAUUUUAUAUUACAUUAAUUUAUGAUGGUUCUCCUUUAUAAGGUUAAGGUUUCCUAGACUCAACAUAUUUUUAAGAGAACAUCUUAUGGGCAUCAUAGACAUUGGAGCUAAGUUGGAGAACCUCAAGAUGCCCAUUGAAGAUUCACCAAUGGUCCACUAUUGUCCCAAUUCCCUUCCUGGUGAUGAGUACAAAAACAUCUGUUAAGCACCUACAGCUACAGUGGCACCAAAAAAGUCUGGGAUCUUGAUGAAUUGAUUUCCAUUUGUGUGCGUGAAGAGCAGAACCCCAAAAAGGAAAAAGCUGAAAAACAUGUGAAUCUAGCAAGUGAUUAAGACUCGGACUAAGGAUGUUAUUUAAGAUUGGUUUCAACCAUGAGAAACGCCAUAGUAACAACUUUACGGAAAUAAGUCUCGUGUAUGUUAGUACAAAGUGUUACUUUUGUAGGAAGAUUGGUCUUUUCAAGAGGGAUUGUAGAAAGUACAUUGGGUUGAGAAUAGGGGUGGGCAUCAAACCGGUUGAAUUGAUGAAACCGGCCGAACGAAACCGUACUUACUAGUUUGAUUUGGUUUUU
rnacentral:lncRNA from 1 species